UGAGGAAUUUUGCGCAAUGGGGGAAACCCUGACGCAGCAACGCCGCGUGAGUGAUGAAGGCUUUCGGGUCGUAAAGCUCUGUCAAGUGGGAAGAAACCAUAUGGUGUUAAUAUCGCCAUAUGCUGACGGUACCACUGAAGGAAGCACCGGCUAACUCCGUGCCAGCAGCCGCGGUAAUACGGGGGGUGCGAGCGUUAUUCGGAAUUACUGGGCGUAAAGAGCGCGUAGGCGGUCUUUUAAGUCAGGUGUGAAAGCCCGGGGCUCAACCCCGGAAGUGCACUUGAAACUAAGAGACUUGAGUAUGGGAGAGGGAAGUGGAAUUCCUGGUGUAGCGGUGAAAUGCGUAGAUAUCAGGAGGAACAUCGGUGGCGAAGGCGACUUCCUGGACCAAUACUGACGCUGAGGCGCGAAGGCGUGGGGAGCAAACA
rnacentral:rRNA from 1 species